GGUUAAGCGACUAAGCGUACACGGUGGAUGCCCUGGCAGUCAGAGGCGAUGAAGGGCGUGCUAAUCUGCGAUAAGCGCCGGUAAGGUGAUAUGAACCGUUAUAACCGGCGAUACCCGAAUGGGGAAACCCAGUGUGAUUCGUCACACUAUCAUUAACUGAAUCCAUAGGUUAAUGAGGCGAACCGGGGGAACUGAAACAUCUAAGUACCCCGAGGAAAAGAAAUCAACCGAGAUUCCCCCAGUAGCGGCGAGCGAACGGGGAGGAGCCCAGAGCCUGAAUCAGCAUGUGUGUUAGUGGAAGCGUCUGGAAAGGCGCGCGAUACAGGGUGACAGCCCCGUACACAAAAGCGCAUGUGCUGUGAGCUCGAUGAGUAGGGCGGGACACGUGGUAUCCUGUCUGAAUAUGGGGGGACCAUCCUCCAAGGCUAAAUACUCCUGACUGACCGAUAGUGAACCAGUACCGUGAGGGAAAGGCGAAAAGAACCCCGGCGAGGGGAGUGAAAAAGAACCUGAAACCGUGUACGUACAAGCAGUGGGAGCACCCUUCGGGGUGUGACUGCGUACCUUUUGUAUAAUGGGUCAGCGACUUAUAUUCUGUAGCAAGGUUAACCGUAUAGGGGAGCCGGAGGGAAACCGAGUCUUAACCGGGCGUUAAGUUGCAGGGUAUAGACCCGAAACCCGGUGAUCUAGCCAUGGGCAGGUUGAAGGUUGGGUAACACUAACUGGAGGACCGAACCGACUAAUGUUGAAAAAUUAGCGGAUGACCUGUGGCUGGGGGUGAAAGGCCAAUCAAACCGGGAGAUAGCUGGUUCUCCCCGAAAGCUAUUUAGGUAGCGCCUCGUGAAUUCAUCUCCGGGGGUAGAGCACUGUUUCGGCUAGGGGGCCAUCCCGGCUUACCAACCCGAUGCAAACUGCGAAUACCGGAGAAUGUUAUCACGGGAGACACACGGCGGGUGCUAACGUCCGUCGUGAAGAGGGAAACAACCCAGACCGCCAGCUAAGGUCCCAAAGUCAUGGUUAAGUGGGAAACGAUGUGGGAAGGCCCAGACAGCCAGGAUGUUGGCUUAGAAGCAGCCAUCAUUUAAAGAAAGCGUAAUAGCUCACUGGUCGAGUCGGCCUGCGCGGAAGAUGUAACGGGGCUAAACCAUGCACCGAAGCUGCGGCAGCGAACGUAUCACCCAAGACAACUUUACGGAGUUGACGAUUGACGGAGCGAAGCGACGUCAAAGCGUUCAUUAAAGUCGAGUUGGCUUAGGGAUACGUUCGUUGGGUAGGGGAGCGUUCUGUAAGCCUGUGAAGGUGUGUCGUGAGGCAUGCUGGAGGUAUCAGAAGUGCGAAUGCUGACAUAAGUAACGAUAAAGCGGGUGAAAAGCCCGCUCGCCGGAAGACCAAGGGUUCCUGUCCAACGUUAAUCGGGGCAGGGUGAGUCGACCCCUAAGGCGAGGCCGAAAGGCGUAGUCGAUGGGAAACGGGUUAAUAUUCCCGUACUUGGUGUUACUGCGAAGGGGGGACGGAGAAGGCUAUGUUGGCCGGGCGACGGUUGUCCCGGUUUAAGCGUGUAGGUGUGUGUUCCAGGUAAAUCCGGUUCACUUUAACACUGAGGCGUGACGACGAGGCACUACGGUGCUGAAGCAACAAAUGCCCUGCUUCCAGGAAAAGCCUCUAAGCAUCAGGUAACAUCAAAUCGUACCCCAAACCGACACAGGUGGUCAGGUAGAGAAUACCAAGGCGCUUGAGAGAACUCGGGUGAAGGAACUAGGCAAAAUGGUGCCGUAACUUCGGGAGAAGGCACGCUGACACGUAGGUGAAGUGAUUUACUCAUGGAGCUGAAGUCAGUCGAAGAUACCAGCUGGCUGCAACUGUUUAUUAAAAACACAGCACUGUGCAAACACGAAAGUGGACGUAUACGGUGUGACGCCUGCCCGGUGCCGGAAGGUUAAUUGAUGGGGUCAGCGCAAGCGAAGCUCCUGAUCGAAGCCCCGGUAAACGGCGGCCGUAACUAUAACGGUCCUAAGGUAGCGAAAUUCCUUGUCGGGUAAGUUCCGACCUGCACGAAUGGCGUAAUGAUGGCCAGGCUGUCUCCACCCGAGACUCAGUGAAAUUGAACUCGCUGUGAAGAUGCAGUGUACCCGCGGCAAGACGGAAAGACCCCGUGAACCUUUACUAUAGCUUGACACUGAACAUUGAGCCUUGAUGUGUAGGAUAGGUGGGAGGCUUUGAAGUGUGGACGCCAGUCUGCAUGGAGCCGACCUUGAAAUACCACCCUUUAAUGUUUGAUGUUCUAACGUGGACCCGUAAUCCGGGUUGCGGACAGUGUCUGGUGGGUAGUUUGACUGGGGCGGUCUCCUCCUAAAGAGUAACGGAGGAGCACGAAGGUUGGCUAAUCCUGGUCGGACAUCAGGAGGUUAGUGCAAUGGCAUAAGCCAGCUUGACUGCGAGCGUGACGGCGCGAGCAGGUGCGAAAGCAGGUCAUAGUGAUCCGGUGGUUCUGAAUGGAAGGGCCAUCGCUCAACGGAUAAAAGGUACUCCGGGGAUAACAGGCUGAUACCGCCCAAGAGUUCAUAUCGACGGCGGUGUUUGGCACCUCGAUGUCGGCUCAUCACAUCCUGGGGCUGAAGUAGGUCCCAAGGGUAUGGCUGUUCGCCAUUUAAAGUGGUACGCGAGCUGGGUUUAGAACGUCGUGAGACAGUUCGGUCCCUAUCUGCCGUGGGCGCUGGAGAACUGAGGGGGGCUGCUCCUAGUACGAGAGGACCGGAGUGGACGCAUCACUGGUGUUCGGGUUGUCAUGCCAAUGGCACUGCCCGGUAGCUAAAUGCGGAAGAGAUAAGUGCUGAAAGCAUCUAAGCACGAAACUUGCCCCGAGAUGAGUUCUCCCUGAGACUUAGAGUCUCCUGAAGGAACGUUGAAGACGACGACGUUGAUAGGCCGGGUGUGUAAGCGCAGCGAUGCGUUGAGCUAACCGGUACUAAUGAACCGUGAGGCUUAACCUUACAACGCCGAAGAUGUUUUG
rnacentral:rRNA from 1 species